rnacentral:rRNA from 1 species
GUGUCAGCCGCCGCGGUAAUACAGAGGGGGCAAGCGUUAUUCGGAAUUAUUGGGCGUAAAGGGCGCGUAGGCGGCCAUGCAAGUGGCGGGUGAAAUCCCUCGGCUUAACCGAGGAACUGCCUGCCAGACUGCAUGGCUCGAGACCGGGAGAGGUGAGUGGAAUUCCCAGUGUAGCGGUGAAAUGCGUAGAUAUUGGGAGGAACACCAGUGGCGAAGGCGGCUCACUGGACCGGUACUGACGCUGAGGCGCGAAAGCGUGGGGAGCAAACAGGAUUAGAUACCCUAGUAGUCC